GGAGGUGCCCCGGAUGGAAACGGCAGACCAUGGAAGUGGGAUGUGGAAGGUGGGAGAUGGAUGUGGAAGGGCCCAUCUCCCUCCUUGACUCCUCCCCUCUGUCUCUGCUUCCUGGCCCCCGGAAAUGAGCAACUUUCUUCCUCCCAGACUCUUUCCACUGUGCCGUUUUCCCCUUGGAGCUGACCAACCAUGGACUGAAAGUGUGAGCCAAGAUAAACCUCUCCACCUUUAAAUUGUGGGUGUUGGGUACUGUGCCCCAGUGACAAGAAAGUGACCAAGACACACAUGGUUACACACUGCUAUGUACUAAGAAGGAGAGAUCCGGAUACCAGACAGUGCAGACUCCUGUGCCGGACAGGGAGACUGCAUGAAUUUUUCACCUCCAACUUUGAUCAAGGUUUACAAUAUAGAACUACGAAAAGGAUAGAAGGAGGACUCUUGUCCAUUAAAAGUUUUUCUAUAAUUCAGAGCUGAAGAAAUGAAUCAGUGCCAUUGUUUUGCUGAAGGUCAAUACCAGAUAAUUCACAAAAAGAAAGAACACCCAGGAAAUCACAGGACAAGAUGCAAUUUCAGGUAUCCAGCUCAGCACCCAAACUAGUCACCAUUUAACUCUGGAAGCAAAGACCAGAAUGAACCCUCAUACAUUGUGCCAGUGCGGAUGAGCUUGGUAUCAUUCAUCUUUCUCAGAAAUAAUAAAAAUCCCAAUGCUAUGAGGAGCUAACUGUGCAAAGUUAUUUCUCCAUUUAUAACAGGAGUAUGAGAAGGAUUCAUAAUUCACCUGAUUUUGGAUGCACCCUCUGCCAAGACUAGAUUAUUCUGGGAAGAGAUCACAGUUGAAAACAAUGGUAAAAACUUCUUUAGUUUUAAAAUUAUGCUUAAUGCCAGAAAUGAGCCACACACAGGAUGAGUCGUCUGACUAUGGCUAGA
ensembl:lncRNA